AUGGACGCCGUCGCCGAGGAUGCCCUGGCAUCUAGUACCAAUAUUCAUCAGAUUCAGGAGGGUGACCUCGGGAGGGUCGGGCCGAAAGGCGACCAUGGCAUGGUGGCCCAUCUCCCGGGGCUAUACUACACCGGCCAACCUCUUCUCCCAGCUGCCACGUUCAGGAUUUUCCGUGUCGACGGCACAAUGGAGACCGCAGAGGCACGCGACAUCACCAUCAUAGACAGGGGCUACUUCCGCAGUGGCCAGUUCGUCGUGUCGGCGUCAGAUAUUCAUGGUCGGGUCGGCGUCGUCACGGAAUCCAACACCACGCUCGACCUCGUGAAGCUCGUCGGCCACGGGGAGCCACCGGUCAUGGCGAUGACCGGGGUGGCGCCGGGAUGCCUGCGGCGCGUCCGGGAGCUCUGCCUCGGCGACUUUGUCGUGUCCGGGCCGUGGCUCGGACGGGUUGUCAAGGUGCCCCUCGAGCUCGACGUGGUGUUUGACGACGGCGCCCUCUGCAGGGUCAUCGGCGGCACGCCGUUGACGAAGCUAUGCCCAGUCGUGGCCACAAACAAACGCAUUUUUCGCGACCGGAUGAAAUCGAGCUUCUACCCGGGCCUGCGUGUCACCUCGCCGGCGGACGGCUUCAAGUACUGUCGGUGGCUUCGUGGAUACUGGAAGCCCAGCCGCAAAGUGGGCACCAUCGCCAAGGUUCUGAUCAUGGGAGCUCUCGUCCACUGGAUCGCCUCUGCGCACCACGGCGCCGACCCGCGGCUAGUCCAGGAGUCCGCUCCUCCCGCCUACCAGGAUCCUGCCGAUUUGACCUUCUUCUGCUCCGCCUACGAUUGCUACUGGGGCGUCGGGGAUCGCUGCUUCCUUCGAGACACACAAGAACAAGGACCCAAGGAGGAGAACACGAUGCACCACCGGAAGCUCCUCCACCUGGAUGGGCGUAGGCGGACGCGGCAGAGGCAGCCGGCGGAGAUCGAGCAACCCAUGAGCGUCGCCAGCACCCGCACCACCGUCGACGUGCUCUGGCAGGACGGCACGAGGCAGAGUGGGGUGCCGUCCACUUGUCUUCUCCCCUACCAGAUGACGAGCGAGCACGAGUUCUUCCCGGGGUUCUACGUUGUCGACGGCGUGGCGCCCGGUGCUAACGCCGCAGCCGAUGAUGUACCCGUCGUAGACAAUGCUACUGGUGCACAGACUACUGAGACCAGGCGCGUCGGCACUGUCCGAUGCGUGAACUCCGAGGACCAGACAGUAGGCGUGUCAUGGUUCAAAGAGUCGUCGAGCCCCGACGAGGCCACAGAGAUCGACACCGUGAGCGCCUACGACUUGGCAUUGCAACCAGGUCCCCAUGCUUUCUAUGGACAUGUCGUCAUACGCCGGCCACCGUCGGGAUAUCCUGAUGCCAGCGAGGUUAGAGCAGCAGCCGAUCUUUCUUGGGUCGGCCAUGUUGUCGACCUUGUUGAUGGGCGUGUCCAAGUCAAGUGGGCCGACAGCACCGUGUCAAUGGUGGUGCCCGAUGAGAUUAGAAUCGUCACUGAGCUGUACUACUGGGAACUAGAGGCUGAAAUGGUCGGUGACGGCGACGACUGGGUGGAGGUUAACAGCGUCGACCAUGAGCAUGAAGAUGAGGAUUCGGCUAAUAGUCUGUACAAUGAAAAAGAAAACCCACCUGAAGGUAGCAACGUCCAGGGUGACAUUGAUUCAGCAAAUGAGGAGGACAACGAUUCGGUGGAUGAAGAUGAAAGUGCAGCAACAAAAGCAAGCCGGAAGGUUGCUAUCAUCCAGUAUAUGUCCCAACUGGCACGCCAAGUGUUGGCUCAAACUAUGAGAUAUUUUGGCAAUAGGUUGUUGUCGUCGUCACUUGGUUCGGAAUUAGCUGGAGGGACGGCCAAUGAGGGAGCUCAUGUGGCUGUACCUGAUGGUCAUCACAGUACAAGCAAUCAUGAUGCGAUUCACGCCAUACCGGCUGCACUAACCAGCAACGACACAUGUGCUGAUGAUGAUGGCUGUGCCGAGAAGGUCAAAAAUAUUGAACACCCCACCGGUGAUGAAGAUCAGUUUCACUUCCCAUAUUUUGAUGUUACGCAUAGCCCUCUUGAUCACCAUUACAUCGACAACGUGGGGCAGGGCCCUAGUGGUGGAAAGAGGUGGGUCAAAGCAGUGCAAAAGGAAUGGAAAAUACUGGAGAACAACAACUUGCCAGACACCAUAUAUGUGCGAGUGUUCGAGGAUCGCAUGGACCUGCUCAGGGCCGUGAUAGUUGGUGCGAGCGGGACACCCUACCACGACGGGAUCUUCUUCUUCGACCUGCACCUGCCGCCAUCGUAUCCUGAUGUGCCUCCGAUGGUGUACUACCACUCAUUCGGUCUCCGCCUCAACCCCAACCUCUACAACUCUGGCACAGUGUGCCUCAGCCUUCUCAACACCUUUGGUGGAGAGGCAUCUGAAGUCUGGUCACCAGCUACAUCCAGUCUCCUGCAGGUCGCCGUCUCUAUCCAGGGUCUAAUACUCAACGACCAACCAUACUACAAUGAGGCCGGUUAUCAAAGCCUAGUCUACAAGCCAGAGGGAUGCCGCAAUGCAUUGCCAUACAAUGAAAAUGCUUACUUGCUCACCCUUCGGACCAUGCUCCACCUGUUGCGACGGCCGCCAAGUGGAUUUGAGGGAUUCGUCAAGGAUCACUUCUGCCGCCGGGGGAGGUUCAUUCUUCGAGCAUGUGAGGCAUACCUAAGAGGGUGUGUAGUUGGCAUGCUCGAUGGUGAUUCAUGCGCCACCAAAGGAAGUAAGGAGGAUAGAUCAUGCUCGACCGGGUUAAGACUGGCGCUUUCCAACGUGUUGCCAAAGCUCGUGGCAGCACUAGCAGAGAUUGGCGCCGAGGGGUGUGAGUGUGACAAGUUCCACGAGCUGCAUGACCUGCUUAUCGGCGGCGAUGGAGUGCAACGUGCUUACUAG
rnacentral:rRNA from 1 species